rnacentral:rRNA from 1 species
GAUAUUGCACAAUGGAGGAAACUCUGAUGCAGCGACGCCGCGUGAGUGAAGAAGUAUUUCGGUAUGUAAAGCUCUAUCAGCAGGGAAGAUAAUGACAGUACCUGACUAAGAAGCCCCGGCUAACUACGUGCCAGCAGCCGCGGUAAUACGUAGGGGGCAAGCGUUAUCCGGAUUUACUGGGUGUAAAGGGAGCGUAGACGGGAUGGCAAGUCUGAAGUGAAAUCCUGCGGCUUAACCGCAGAAUUGCUUUGGAAACUGUCAACCUGGAGUGUCGGAGAGGUAAGCGGAAUUCCUAGUGUAGUAGUGAAAUGCGUAGAGAUUAGGAAGAACACCGGAGGCGAAGGCGGCUUACUGGACGAUAACUGACGUUGAGGCUCGAAAGCGUGGGGGGCAAAC